CAUAUAAAGAAAAGGUUCUUCCAACCCCAGACGAUCAGCCACACACCCAGGUCCAAUUAGAACUUAGAUCUGACCCAAAAUACCCGCUACAGCUAGUUCUUAUUAAGCUAAAAUUAUUAUAAAAGAAAAGAGAGAGAGUUGGUUAAAAGAUCACUAUACAGACAGACGUGAAUUCAAUUCCUGAGGUUCAGAUACUUAGUAGAGAUGAGCUUGUAGAUGCCAAAAGUCCUUUUAGAAAUAGUCCAGAGGUUACAGUCCAAUUUCCAUAUUCAGGGUGACUCCAGUCAGUGACUGGGGAUCUCAAUCCUUAUGGCUCAGGGUUUCAGAUGUUAAGUUCACUGACAGACCACAAGUCAUAUCCCAAGUGUCUAGAGAUGAGAGUUUACCUGCAAACCCCUGCAUUCUCCAGAGAUUAACUGCCCAGCUGUCCUGCUCUGCAGACUCAGCUGCCCCGUCUUCCCUCUGAACCUGCAGCACAGACUCUUCACUUACAGAAUCAGCAUGGAGACAUUCCUCUCUCAACAGCCUUGUCUCCUCAACAAGCUGGCCAAACCCAGCCACUUGGUUAUGGGGCUGCUCAACUUUCUUAAAGCUUUUACUCUGUCUGAGACCUUCUCAAAGCUACCCUCACUGGAUCUUUCACAAGGAAAGUCAGUGGCUCCAUUCACCACAGAAAAUUUCUGGCUGAUAGGAACUGAAACUUCCGGGGUAAGAGCAGUCGGGUUUAUGAGCUGUCUGGGACACGGCAUAGAACGGCUUGCUUGGCAAAGAGAACCCAAAGUUACAGCAGGGUCCCGCUUGCUCAGCCCAGCGCCCUCUGACCCCUCUUUUUCCCCCGUUCAGGAGAGUCUGCAUCUUCCAGCAGCCCACACUUAACAACCCUGCCUGGCCCCUCCUCAGUCCUUUGUCCCCCAGCUCACAGCGUCAGGCUUCCUGCAGCUGCCUCCCUCUGGGCAAAAUCGAACUCUAACAUGGGACAUUAAGAGACCAGGCACAGAGCCAGGCCAAACUGUAACUCGGUUCUUACCCAGUAAGCACACCGCUCCCAGACCUUUAGUAGCUAAUAUCUAAAGGUUUACUCAUAGAGAGAAGACGACAAGCCUUAAACAUGGUUAAUAGCUCAUAUGCCUAUAAUAAUGGCGAUGUUCUUGGAUCAGGCCUGUAGCAAGGAUGGACUAGAUGGCUGGCUUGUCAAGUCUUGUAGCCAACUUCCAAAAGAUUGGAUGGGCCUCAGUCCAUAGUUCAAAUGACCCUUGUAGCUAUAAAUCCACAGUCCGGAGAAUCAGAGCAGGAAAUGAAGACCAAUUGCAGAUGUCUUGGGGUCUUUUAUAGCCUCUGCCAGGUGCUGGGAAUUUUACUGUCCCAAACACAGCCCACAGCCACAGUCUGUGGAAAAUAACCGGCCCAAGAUGGAGUCCAGGGUCACAUGAGCACGUCACAUGACAUCACACGCCUUGCUGACUCUCAGCAGCAGCCAUUACCCAUGUUCUGGCUGGGGCACCCACAGGAAGGCUCACCUGGUGGGACCAGCUCCCUCCAGGGUUAGGGGGGUGUCCUUUAAUGGGCCAUCGAACUCGAAUAGUCCAUUCACGUUGUGCUGCCUAGACUGGAUGUAAACUGCCUGGGGGUGUUACCCCAGGAACAAACACAAGGGCUGAGGCCUUGUCUACAAGCACAUUUGAUAGCGCUCUAAUUUGCUGGCUCAGGGGCAGGGGCGGCUCUAGUUUUUCUGCUGCCCCAAGCACGGCUGUCAGGUGGCUUUUGGUGGCAAGUCUGUGGGAGGUGCCUCAGUCCUGUACCUUCUGCGUACCGGCUGCUGAAUUGCUGUCAAAGCCACAGGACUACAGACCUCAGGUAUGCUGCCAAAGGCUGCCUGACAGCCAUGCUUGGGGCGCUGGUGUCUGGAGCCACCACUGCUCAGGGGUAUGAAAAAUCACUCCCCUGAGCGCAGCAAGUCUGAGCACUUUAAAGCGCUAGUGUAGACAGGCUCCCGGCGCUCACAGUGACUCCCCUCGCGGCAGAUUACCAGGAGCACUGGGAGAGCCGUCUCACACACAACCACACUCACACACUCGCACAUCAAAGCACUGCCGCAGGAGUGCUCAGGGGGCAGCGCUUUGAAGUCUCUUGUGUAGCCAUAGCCUGAGUCAACACUUAGCAGCUUAAAGCGCCUUAACGGGACAGUGUGGUCGCGCUCUCUGGUGGUCUGUCGGAGUGGGUCUGGUCUGAGAUGAACACACUGACACACAAUGCAGAGCACACACAGAAGGCUCAGGCCCAGUCCCCUAAACUUGUGUAAAAGGUCACAAACAGGCUUUCCCGAUCUCAGACUGUGAUGGAACAACCUCAUUCUGGGCCACUGAACAGGAGGCGUACACAUAUAAUCAAGAUAUCCACACUUAGCAAUUCACA